CAGUAAAGAAGCUCUUCUCCAUGUUCAGAAUACCAAAAUGAUGGCUGUACCCCUUUUUUUAAACAAGGUUGUUUUGGGCCUCUUUUGCUGUGGCAGAGUACAGGGAGAAUGCUGUAGAGGGGCAGUGUUUGGGGACAAGGCCAUCAACUUUCACAGGAAUGGAGUGGACCUCUGCGCUGCUGCUGAACCGGGGGAAAACUGAGGAAAAGAGAAGGUCAGAGAAGGUCAGGAAGAUAUGCUACCAGCUGAGGAAGGCAGCACUGGAUUCACACCAGAAGACCUCAUUUUCUCUGAAAAAGACUUCUAAAUACAGAUGGAAAACAUUA